UCAUGUUGUUUAAUUCGAUGAUACGCGAAGAACCUUACCAGGUCUUGACAUCCCUUGCAAAGCUAUGGAGACAUAGUGGAGGUUAUCAAGGAGACAGGUGGUGCAUGGUUGUCGUCAGCUCGUGUCGUGAGAUGUUGGGUUAAGUCCCGCAACGAGCGCAACCCUUAUUGCUAGUUACCAUCAUUAAGUUGGGGACUCUAGCGAGACUGCCAGUGAUAAACUGGAGGAAGGUGGGAUGACGUCAAAUCAUCAUGCCCCUUAUGACCUGGGCUACAAGCGUGAUACAAUGGCUGAAACAAAGGGCAGCGAAGCAGUGAUGUGGAGCGAAACCCAAAAAAGCAGUCUCAGUUCGGAUUGAAGUCUGCAACUCGACUUCAUGAAGUUGGAAUCGCUAGUAAUCGUAGAUCAGAACGCUACGGUGAAUACGUUCUCGGGGUUU
rnacentral:rRNA from 1 species